UACGUAGGGUGCAGGCGUUAAUCGGAAUUACUGGGCGUAAAGCGUGCGCAGGCGGUUUGUUAAGACAGGUGUGAAAUCCCCGGGCUCAACCCGGGAACUGCGUCCGAUACUGGAAGGCUUGAAUCCGGGAGAGGGAUGCGGAAUUCCAGGUGUAGCGGUGAAAUGCGCAGAUAUCAGGAGGAACACCGGUGGCGAAGGCGGUUCUCUGGGCAUUACCUGACGCUGAGGAGCGAAAGUGUGGGGAGCGAACAGG
rnacentral:rRNA from 1 species